UACGUAGGUGACAAGCGUUAUCCGGAAUUACUGGGCGUAAAGCGCACGCAGGCGGCUGAGUAAGUCUGACGUGAAAUCUCCCGGCUUAACCGGGAGCGGUCGUUGGAAACUACUUGGGCUUGAGGCGAUGAGAGGGGUGUGGAAUUCCCGGUGUAGUGGUGGAAUGCGUAGAUAUCGGGAGGAACAUCAGUGGCGAAAGCGGCACCCUGGCAUUGGCCUGACGCUCAGGUGCGAAAGCGUGGGGAGCGAACGGG
rnacentral:rRNA from 1 species